AAAUGACACCUGCUGAAUUCAAAACUACUAGCACAUAAUAACGGGAAAUCUUGUCCAAGAAUUGCCAUCAGGUUUUUGUAAAUCAGAUAACAGAUAAACAGUUGUGUACACAUCUCUGGGAGCUCAUUUGCAUAGUUUCAUGUGAUGGUAGUGAAACUACUUAACAGACUAUUCAGAAAAGGUAAAAUUGAAACAUAAAAGUCAUAGAAGUUUUAUCAUGGGGAAAUCUUUUAGAGAAAGUGACUAUGACCUGAAUUCAAGAAAAUUGUGAUUGCAGAAAAGUUACUUUAAAAUUAAAAUGGAAAAAUCUAGAUGGAGCUAGAGUUGAAUAAGAGGUACAGAGGGAAACCCCACAUCUGCUAGAGCCUGAGCUCUGGAGUGGGCCAUCCUGGGCCCACCGAUAGUAACACCAGUCACUGCAGGAUUAACACAAUGUCUUUUCACAUUUCUCCAUCAAAAUGAUUGUCAC
rnacentral:lncRNA from 1 species